CAGAGAUGAGUUAAGUUGUAAACGCUACGGACUCUGAAGUGUUUCCCGUGUGAUUGUGUGACGUGUAACUGUGGAUUGUUUGUUAGUUUACUCGCUCCUUUGUGUGUGUGUUUGUGUGUGUGUGACUUUGGGACUGUUUACGACCAGCGAGGUGUGUUUUUUUUAUUCACUCUGGAGCGAGCUAGCUUGAUUAGCUGAGCUGCCGCCAUUGUUGGGAGGAACAUCCGUCUUCUUCACCUGCGCGGACGAGAGUGGAGGAGCAACGGUCGGGAGGAGCCGUGACUCGGAGGACGGGCUGCCGCCAGACACGGUGUGAUUCCCGGAAAUGCAGAGGAGCCGACGGAUGUUUUCCAGCCCUGAGUAGUGACUGCAGGCUGCACAACAACCUGCGCCAAGAAGGGAGGGAUGUGCUGAUGUUUUGCUUGCAGAGCUUGAGUCUGACCCAAACCUGAACCAGGACUCAGAAACGACAUCUUGACUCCUCAGAACCGGACUCUCCAUGAGGCCUGGUCCCAACAAGAUAUUUGUUCUUGGACAAGAGGCCUGUGAAGGAAACAUGGCAGCUGUUGAAGACGUCCUGUUCAUACAGUUACAACUAAUCUGAGCCUAAUUGCACCGUCUUACAAUGAGUGUAUUAUCUUCAAGUUGAAGGGUAUUUGAUCUCAUGUGUAAUUAAAGACAA